rnacentral:rRNA from 1 species
GAUGAACGCUAGCUACAGGCUUAACACAUGCAAGUCGCGGGGCAGCAUGGGGGUUGCUUGCAACCCCUGAUGGCGACCGGCGCACGGGUGAGUAACGCGUAUCCAACCUGCCCUUCACCACGGGAUAACCCGGCGAAAGUCGGACUAAUACCGUAUGUUGUCCAUUGACGGCAUCCGAUUUGGACGAAAGGCUUAGCGGUGAGGGAUGGGGAUGCGUCCGAUUAGCUUGACGGCGGGGUAACGGCCCACCGUGGCAACGAUCGGUAGGGGUUCUGAGAGGAAGGUCCCCCACACUGGAACUGAGACACGGUCCAGACUCCUACGGGAGGCAGCAGUGAGGAAUAUUGGUCAAUGGGCGGAAGCCUGAACCAGCCAAGUAGCGUGCAGGAUGACGGCCCUAUGGGUUGUAAACUGCUUUUAUGCGGGGAUAAAGUGGCCCACGUGUGGGUUUUUGCAGGUACCGCAUGAAUAAGGACCGGCUAAUUCCGUGCCAGCAGCCGCGGUAAUACGGAAGGUCCGGGCGUUAUCCGGAUUUAUUGGGUUUAAAGGGAGCGUAGGCCGCCCCUUAAGCGUGUUGUGAAAUGCGGGUGCUCAACAUCCGACUUGCAGCGCGAACUGGGGGGCUUGAGUGCGCCGAAAGUAGGCGGAAUUCGUGGUGUAGCGGUGAAAUGCUUAGAUAUCACGAAGAACUCCGAUUGCGAAGGCAGCUUACUGUAGCGCAACUGACGCUGAUGCUCGAAAGCGUGGGUAUCGAACAGG